GGUAUGAUUUUACAGCAGCUGUGUAAUCUUUUUUUAAACACUAAUUAUAUUAACCAACAGAGAUUACAGGGGUGGAGUACAGUUUAGGUUACAUUUGCCGGCAGGUUUAUAAAAAACCUCCAGAGUCCAAGGCUCCAACAACGGAGAAGCUAAGCCCAAACAUGGGAAUUAAAGAUAAGAACAUGAAUCAUCCUUAAUACUAACCGAUCUAAAAUAGAAGAAGUGAGGAACCAAACAAAAGAACCUUUACAAAACAGUGAACAAUAAAGCACGAUGACUUCAAAUGAACCCCUUUGAACGAGACAAGGCGAGGAUGCUAUCCAAAGCUAAAACCUCCGGCUUGUGACUCCUCCUAUAGAGAAUAAUCCAUGCGAUUAAGAGACCAGUGCUUCAAGCUUUCAAGAUCCAGGAGACAGAACAAUUUCAGUUCUUAAGUCUACAACCGGGAAUGCGUUGACGGAGAUAGAACGUCACGAGACGUCGAGAUGAAGCAAGACGAGAGAUAAGAACUCGAUCAAAUCUUUUGGUAAAUGACAAGGAGCGAGACAACUCAUAAAUGGGUUCAGCCAUUCUCGAGAGAUCAAGAAGGACGAAGAUCGAGACCCAAAAUGAGCCAAAGAGAGUUCAAAGCCAACAUGCAAAUCAUUUAACCCAAAAACAGGUUCAUAAUGCGACCAAAAAGAAGGGAAACAGAACCCAACUCACUUCAACUAGAUCGAUCAAUAUCACACACAAAGAACGACAUGCAAGCUCUCAUCCCCCGGUAAAGAUAAGAUCUAGAUCUGAAAUCCAACCAAAGAGGAAAACGAGAACAAGACAUGAAGAUCUAAACCGAUUGAAACCAAAAAGGAUGAUUCAAAGAAACUAAACCCGACUCCGGCUCUGAGAGAGCAACCGGAGUCGGAGAGCAAGCUUCAACAAUGGAGGAUUGAUGAGAGAAGGCUGAGUAUUUUUGAAGAGAGAGAAAGGGUGUAUUGGACAGCAGCUGUGUAAUCUAUUUAUGUUUUUAUUAAAAAUAAAUAUAUAAAAAAAAGAGAAGAGAUUUGUGGGUAUAUAAAAAGGAGAGGGGGUGAAGUUCGAAGCUAUCUUAUAAGUUAUUUUAGCUUUCAUUCCUUCUUUUGCUCUGAUCAAAAGAACUCUCUCUCUCUCUUCUCUGCCAUCUUCUGCGUUUUCUUCUCUGCCAAAGACAGAGAGAGAGAGUAGCAAUUCCUCAUUGAAAGAGAAAAAGAAGAACAAGUGUAACUAAAGAACAUAAUCAGUUUUGGUCUUUGUUUGCUUCUGAUUCGUUCUCACCUUCUUCUCUUCUCUAAUGUAAGUAACUCUUUAUUUUUCUCUGUUUUUUUUCCUCUAAAGAAGAGAAAACGUGAACAAAGAAUAAUAUUUUUUACACUCUGCUUUAACUUAUCCUCGUAACCGUGUCCUCUGCUUUAAUCACACCUGAAUCAUCUACCAAGUCGUAUAUAUCUCUCUCUUUCUUGUCUCUGUUCCUUGUUCACUUAGUUUUUGAUUCUUCUUCUCUCUGUAAAGUGUUGAGUGACCUAAACAAGCGUCAUAUUUUACUCUCAGAUCUACUAAAGGCAAAACAUAAAGAAAGCAAAAAAUGUCGGCGGGAGAAGAAGCAAUAGUAGCUAGCGGAAAUGACAACGAAGGAGAUCAGACCAACGGAAACCACACCGGAAAAACCGACGAAUACGACCCAUCCACCGGUUCUGCACUAAGCAACUUCCUCUGGCACGGUGGCUCCGUCUGGGACGCUUGGUUCAGCUGCGCAUCUAACCAGGUACGUGCUUCAAGAACCCUCAAAAAUUGAGGAAAAAAAAACAAGAAAAUAUUUUUUUCUGAAAUAUUUUUAAAAACAAGAAAAUCUUGAUUUCAAGAAUCCUCAAAAGAUCUUGCUUUGUUACCUUUUCAGGUGGCCCAAGUGCUUCUGACACUACCGUACUCGUUCAGUCAACUAGGAAUGUUAUCAGGAAUAGUACUCCAGAUCUUCUAUGGACUACUUGGAAGCUGG
rnacentral:lncRNA from 1 species